GAUUAACGCUAGCGGCAGGCCUAAUACAUGCAAGUCGAACGGUAAAUAGUGUAGCAAUACAUUAUGAGAGUGGCGCACGGGUGAGUAACGCGUAUGCAACCUACCUUUAACUGGGGGAUAGCCUUCCGAAAGGAAGAUUAAUACCGCAUAAAAUUAUGAAGUGGCAUCACUUUAUAAUCAAAACUCCGGUGGUUAAAGAUGGGCAUGCGUGACAUUAGCUAGUUGGUGAGGUAACGGCUCACCAAGGCGACGAUGUCUAGGGGUCUGAGAGGAUGAUCCCCCACACUGGUACUGAGACACGGACCAGACUCC
rnacentral:rRNA from 1 species